rnacentral:rRNA from 1 species
UACGGAGGGAGCUAGCGUUGUUCGGAAUUACUGGGCGUAAAGCGCGUGUAGGCGGCUCGGUAAGUCUGCUGUGAAAGUCCAAGGCUCAACCUUGGAAAGCCGGUGGAUACUGUCGAGCUCGAGUCCGGAAGAGGCGAGUGGAAUUCCUGGUGUAGCGGUGAAAUGCGCAGAUAUCAGGAGGAACACCAAUGGCGAAGGCAGCUCGCUGGGACGGUACUGACGCUGAGACGCGAAAGCGUGGGGAGCAAACAGG